rnacentral:rRNA from 1 species
CGCGGCCUAUCAGCUUGUUGGUGAGGUAAUGGCUCACCAAGGCGACGACGGGUAGCCGGCCUGAGAGGGUGACCGGCCACACUGGGACUGAGACACGGCCCAGACUCCUACGGGAGGCAGCAGUGGGGAAUAUUGCACAAUGGGCGAAAGCCUGAUGCAGCGACGCCGCGUGAGGGAUGACGGCCUUCGGGUUGUAAACCUCUUUCAGUAGGGAAGAAGCGAAAGUGACGGUACCUGCAGAAGAAGCACCGGCUAACUACGUGCCAGCAGCCGCGGUAAUACGUAGGGUGCGAGUGUUAUCCGGAAUUAUUGGGCGUAAAGAGCUCGUAGGCGGUUUGUCGCGUCUGUCGUGAAAGUCCGGGGCUUAACCCCGGAUCUGCGGUGGGUACGGGCAGUCUAGAGUGCAGUAGGGGAGACUGGAAUUCCUGGUGUAGCGGUGGAAUGCGCAGAUAUCAGGAGGAACACCGAUGGCGGAGGCAGGUCUCUGGGCUGUAACUGACGCUGAGGAGCGAAAGCAUGGGGAGCGAACAGGAUUAGAUACCCUGGUAGUCCAUGCCGUAAACGUUGGGCACUAGGUGUGGGGACCAUUCCACGGUUUCCGCGCCGCAGCUAACGCAUUAAGUGCCCCGCCUGGGGAGUACGG